rnacentral:rRNA from 1 species
AGCAGCCGCGGUAAUUCCAGCUCCAAUAGCGUAUACUAAAGUUGUUGCAGUUAAAAAGCUCGUAGUUGAAUUUCGGGAUCAAUUUAUUGGUCGUGCUAUUGUACGUACUGGUAUUAUUGAUUUCUACCUUCUGACGAACCAUGAUGUCAUUAAUUUGGUGUCUUGGGGAAUCAGGACUGUUACUUUGAAAAAAUUAGAGUGUUUAAAGCAGGCUCACGCUUGAAUACAUUAGCAUGGAAUAACGAAAUAGGACGUUUGAUUCUAUUUUGUUGGUUUCUAGGAUCGACGUAAUGAUUAAUAGGGAUAGUUGGGGGCAUUAGUAUUCAAUUGUCAGAGGUGAAAUUCUUGGAUUUAUUGAAGACUAACUACUGCGAAAGCAUUUGCCAAGGAUGUUUUCAUUAAUCAAGAACGAAAGUUAGGGGAUCGAAGACGAUCAGAUACCGUCGUAGU